UUGCAUUCUGGGAGUCACGUGAAGGAGGGCACUGUAGUGCUGCGGCGGGCCUGACCAAGGUCCCCGUUUCCCACAGGCUGCGUACGGAGUGGAGGUCUACAGGGUGGGUCGUGUUCUAGAAUAGGGUAGGCGACCGUCUCCAAACUGCUCUGGACCAGGCUCUGAGGCAUCAGAUGGUUUACCUACCAAGAUCUAUUCAUAGAGAGUCUGGGGGAAGAAAGUACUUGAGUAAGAAGAAAGCAGCAUCAUGGAGGACAGGUAGCUAAGCUGAUGGGUGGGAAUCACCAGCUUUGGCUACUGUGUUUGUCAGUUCACUGAGAAUGGACCCAACACAGAAGAAAGACAAGGGAUGGAAACAAAAGGAGAGUCCAGAUGAUGUGAUUUGAAUCCCUGGAUAUCAGUAUGCCAGGAACCACAUUCUUUGAAGCUGAGAAAGAGAGAAUAAAUCCUGCAAACCCCACAGCAUGUUAAGGGAUUCCAGCCCAGGAUCCUUAUUCUGUAAGGCACAUUUUCCUCGCAGGGCCAGGUGGUGUCUCCUGAACACCUUCUAGUCCCCAGACCUCUUCAGGAAACUGCAGUUAUAGAAAACAAAGCAGCAUUGCUCAGUUUGAAUGGUAAAGGAUGGAAUUUUUGCUCUGGUCUUCUGGCCACUACCAAGUGUUUCCAUUUCCUCCAGAUUGAAACUCUUUUUGGGAUGAGCCUUUGAUUGGAUCAGCCAGUCUCCAUCAAGUACUGAGUACCUUAUUAGUGUCAACUGUGAGUGGAGUAGCCUCCAG
rnacentral:lncRNA from 1 species